CAAGUCCCCCACGAUGAAGGAAUAGCGAACCACAUCGACCCCGAGCCGUGCGUUGCCAUUCGUGAGGAUGGCGGCGAAGCGUCGGCAGGGGUACGUGCAGGCCAGCCAUUGAGCGGAGCAGCCGACAAGGCUGCCAAUCUUGAGUGGUGAAAGUCCA
rnacentral:ncRNA from 1 species